rnacentral:rRNA from 1 species
GGGCCGAAUAUCUAAGGUUUCCAGGGUAAAGCUGAUCUUCCCUGGGUAAGUCGGGGCCUAAGGCGAGGGCGAGAGCCGUAGUCGAUGGAUAACAGGUUGAAAUUCCUGUACUGCUUAUGGACAGAACUGUGGGGACGCAGAAGGAGAGCACGAGCCGGAAAUGGAAAAGCCGGUACAAGCGUAUAGCAGUCAUGCAGGCAAAACCGCAUGAAAAAUGUAAAGCGUUAUGUGGAUCGAACAUUAGUAGAGAAGCGUGUGAGCCAGCUGCCAAGAAAAGCCGCUAUUGCUUCAUAAGUACCCGUACCGUAAACCGACACAGGUGGAUGAGGAGAGAAUCCUAAGGCCGGCGGGAGAAGUGUUGUUAAGGAACUCGGCAAAAUGACUCCGUAACUUCGGGAGAAGGAGUGCCACAGAGAUGUGGCCGCAGAGAAAUGGCCCAAGCAACUGUUUAGCAAAAACACAGGUCUAUGCAAAACCGAAAGGUGAGGUAUAUGGGCUGACGCCUGCCCGGUGCUGGAAGGUUAAGAGGAGAGGUUAGAGCAAUCGAAGCUUUGAAUUUAAGCCCCAGUAAACGGCGGCCGUAACAAUAACGGUCCUAAGGUAGCGAAAUUCCUUGUCGGGUAAGUUCCGACCCGCACGAAAGGCGUAAUGAUUUGGGCACUGUCUCAACAACACACCCGGUGAAAUUGAAAUACCAGUGAAGAUGCUGGUUACCUGCGCCAGGACGGAAAGACCCCAUGGAGCUUUACUCCAGUUUGAUACUGGGAUUCGGUACUGUCUGUACAGGAUAGGUGGGAGGCUAGGAAAUGGUGACGCCAGUUGCCAUGGAGCCAACCUUGGGAUACCACCCUUACAGUACUGGGUUUCUAACCUGCAGCCGUAACCCGGCUGGGGGACAAUGUCUGACGGGGAGUUUGACUGGGGCGGUCGCCUCCGAAAGAGUAUCGGAGGCGCUCAAAGGUUCCCUCAGAACGGUUGGAAACCGUUCGAAGAGUGCAAAGGCAGAAGGGAGCUUGACUGCGACACCGACGGGUGGAGCAGAUACGAAAGUAGGACUUAGUGAUCCGGUGGUAUAAAGUGGGAUUGCCAUCGCUCAACGGAUAAAAGCUACCCUGGGAUAACAGGCUUAUCACUCCCAAGAGUUCACAUCGACGGAGUGGUUUGGCACCUCGAUGUCGGCUCAUCGCAUCCUGGAGCUGUAGCAGGUUCCAAGGGUUGGGCUGUUCGCCCAUUAAAGCGGUACGCGAGCUGGGUUCAGAACGUCGUGAGACAGUUCGGUCCCUAUCCGGCGUGGGCGUAGGAUAUUUGAGAGGAGCUGUCCUUAGUACGAGAGGACCGGGAUGGACAAACCUCUGGUGUAUCUGUUGUUUUACCAAAGGCAUGGCAGAGUAGCCAAGUUUGGCAGGGAUAAACGCUGAAGGCAUCUAAGCGUGAAGCCCCCCUCAAGAUAAGAUAUCCCAUCUUCGGAGUAAGACCCCUUGAAGACUACAAGGUUGAUAGGCUUUGUGUGUAAGUGCGGUAACGCACUCAGCUGAGAAGUACUAAUAGGUCGAGGACUUACCAA